rnacentral:rRNA from 1 species
GACGAACGCUGGCGGCGUGCUAAACACAUGCAAGUCGAACGGAAAGGCCCUGCUUUUGUGGGGUGCUCGAGUGGCGAACGGGUGAGUAACACGUGAGUAACCUGCCCUUGACUUUGGGAUAACUUCAGGAAACUGGGGCUAAUACCGGAUAGGAGCUCCUGCUGCAUGGUGGGGGUUGGAAAGUUUCGGCGGUUGGGGAUGGACUCGCGGCUUAUCAGCUUGUUGGUGGGGUAGUGGCUUACCAAGGCUUUGACGGGUAGCCGGCCUGAGAGGGUGACCGGCCACAUUGGGACUGAGAUACGGCCCAGACUCCUACGGGAGGCAGCAGUGGGGAAUAUUGCACAAUGGGCGGAAGCCUGAUGCAGCAACGCCGCGUGCGGGAUGACGGCCUUCGGGUGGUAAACCGCUUUCGCCUGUGACGAAGCGUGAGUGACGGUAAUGGGUAAAGAAGCACCGGCUAACUACGU